rnacentral:rRNA from 2 species
UUCGCAAUGCCCGAAAGGGUGACGAAGCGACGCCGCGUGGGUGAGGAAGGCCUUCGGGUUGUAAAGCCCUGUCAGGAGUUAAGAAAUGUAGACUCGCUAAUAUCGGGUCUAUUUGACAAAGGCUCCAAAGGAAGCCACGGCUAACUCUGUGCCAGCAGCCGCGGUAAUACAGAGGUGGCAAGCGUUGUUCGGAAUUAUUGGGCGUAAAGAGCACGUAGGUGGAUUUGUAAGUCAGACGUGAAAGCCUUCUGUUCAACGGAAGAAUUGCAUCUGGAACUACAAACCUUGAGUGUAGGAGGGGAGAAUGGAACUUCUGGUGGAGCGGUGAAAUGCGUAGAUAUCAGAAGGAACGCCGGCGGCGAAAGCGAUUCUCUGGCCUAUUACUGACACUCAGUGUGCGAAAGCUAGGGGAGCAAACGGGAUUAGAUACCCCGGUAGUCCUAGCCGUAAACGAUGGGCACUAAGUAGAGGGGUUUU